rnacentral:rRNA from 1 species
UACGGAGGGUGCGAGCGUUGUCCGGAAUCACUGGGCGUAAAGGGCGCGUAGGUGGCGCGGGCAGUCAACGGUGAAAGUUCGGGGCUCAACCCUGAAUCGGCCGUCGAUACUCCCGAGCUCGAGCACUGUAGAGGCAGAUGGAAUUCCGGGUGUAGCGGUGGAAUGCGUAGAGAUCAGGAGGAACACCGGUGGCGAAGGCGGCCCACUGGGCAGUCACUGACGCUGAGGCGCGAAAGCUCGGGGAGCGAACGGG